GUUAGUUAUUUUAAUUUUGAAAAAUAAAAUAUAUAUAAACUAUAGGCUUAGGUAAAAUUCCAGUAUUGGGGCGGAUUUUUUUCCAGUGACCAGGAGCGGCAUUAAGUUUAAAUCCGGCGCUACAAUGCUAAGAGUCCACUGGAGUUUGUAAAGACCACAACACGGCUGACGUCACCCACUACGAGAAUGAACAUCCAAGUCUCUCCUAGUGCAGUCUAACAGAUUCCUUUGGGCUAAUGUGUACGAGCAGUAGUAUUAUGGGGCACAGGAAUCUGAACUUUCAAUGAAGCUGUUGCAUUUGUGCCUACUAAUGAUCCCCCGGUAGUCGAAAUUAGACAAUAAUUAAUUGAAGUUAUACUUAUACUUAUAAGUUUGUGUUGUAUUAUGAUUGUAUUUUCAAAGAUUAUUAUACUUCUAUAAUCACAGAUUUCGCUAAGACUAUAUAAAUACACCUUAGACAAAUAUUUAAUCUAUCUUCAAUUGACCACAGACUAUAAGCAAUAAGAAAAGUUUGACAAUUAGCAAAUGUCAUGCAUAGGUACGUGUGUGUGCUAAAUACAUGGUAAUGUGUGUAAUGUU